CAAUAGCGUAUAUUAAAGUUGUUGCGGUAAAAAAGCUCGUAGUUGGAUUUCUGUUGGGAGCGACCGGUCCAUACCAUGUAUGCGUAUCUGGCUUGCUCUCGGCAUCCUCUCGAUAGACGUUGCUGCGCUUGAUUGCGUGGCGCGGAUCUCGGGACUUUUACUUUGAGGAAAUUAGAGUGUUCACGGCAGGCUUUCGCCAGAAUACAUUAGCAUGGAAUAAUACUAUAGGAUCUUGGUUCUAUUUUGUUGGUUUCUAGAAUUGAGAUAAUGAUUAAUAGGGACAAUUGGGGGCAUUCGUAUCAACACGUCAGAGGUGGAAUUCUUGGAUUGUGUUGCGACGAACUACUGCGAAAGCAUUUGCCAAGGAUGUUUUCAUUGA
rnacentral:rRNA from 1 species